rnacentral:rRNA from 1 species
AGCAGCCGCGGUAAUUCCAACUCCAAUAGCGUAUAUUAAAGUUGCUGCAGUUAAAAAAGCUCGUAGUUGAAUUUCGGGACCAUCAUGUCGGUCGUGCCUCGGUACGUACUGGCAUUGUUGGUUUCUCCCUUCUGACGAACCAUGAUGUCAUUAAUUUGGUGUCAUGGGGAAUCAGGACUGUUACUUUGAAAAAAUUAGAGUGUUUAAAGCAGGCUCACGCUUGAAUACAUUAGCAUGGAAUAAUGAAAUAGGACGUUUGAUUCUAUUUUGUUGGUUUCUAGGAUCGACGUAAUGAUUAAUAGGGAUAGUUGGGGGCAUUAGUAUUCAAUUGUCAGAGGUGAAAUUCUUGGAUUUAUUGAAGACUAACUACUGCGAAAGCAUUUGCCAAGGAUGUUUUCAUUAAUCAAGAACGAAAGUUAGGGGAUCGAAGACGAUCAGAUACCGUCGUAGUCUUAACCAUAAACUAUGCCGACUAGGGAUCGGAUGAUGUUAAUUUUUAAUGACUCAUUC